GCCGCCGUAGCUCACCUGGUAGAGCGACGUCCUCGUAAGACGUAGGCAUCCGGUUCGAGUCCGGGCGGUGGCU
rnacentral:tRNA from 1 species